rnacentral:rRNA from 1 species
UACGUAGGGGGCAAGCGUUGUCCGGAAUCAUUGGGCGUAAAGAGCGUGUAGGCGGCCUGGUAAGUCCGCUGUGAAAGUCCAGGGCUCAACCCUGGAAUGCCGGUGGAAACUGUCAGGCUCGAGUCCGGAAGAGGCGAGUGGAAUUCCUGGUGUAGCGGUGAAAUGCGCAGAUAUCAGGAGGAACACCAAUGGCGAAGGCAGCUCGCUGGGACGGUACUGACGCUGAGACGCAAAAGCGUGGGGAGCAAACAGG